rnacentral:rRNA from 1 species
GGGGAAUCUUGGACAAUGGGCGAAAGCCUGAUCCAGCGACGCCGCGUGGAGGAAGAAGUCCUUCGGGAUGUAAACUUCUGAACUAGCCGAAUAAAAGGCCUGUGGACACACAGGAGAAGAAAGUAGGCUAGGAAAAGUCCCGGCUAACUACGUGCCAGCAGCCGCGGUAAGACGUAGGAGGCGAGCGUUAUCCGGAUUUACUGGGCGUAAAGGGCAAGUAGGCGGCGGUUCAAGUUGGACGUGACAUCUCCCGGCUCAACUGGGAGGGGUCGUUCAAAACUGGGUCGCUGGAGGGCAGGAGAGGGGAGCGGAAGUCCUGGUGUAGCGGUGGAAUGCUCAGAUACCAGGAGGAACACCAGUGGCGAAGGCGGCUUCCUGGCCUGUACCUGACGCUGAGAGGCGAAAGCCAGGGGAGCGAACG